rnacentral:rRNA from 1 species
CCAGCAGCCGCGGUAAUUCCAGCUCUAAUAGCGUAUAUUAAAGUUGUUGCGGUUAAAAAGCUCGUAGUUUGAUUCUGGUUAGGGCAGUUGUGAGCUAGCUCAAAAGGUUAGCUCGCUUCUCUCUAACUACUUCUGGCGGUGUUGUUUCCCGUGAUUAAUUUCACGGUGUAAGCUCCGUCAAUUUUACUUUGAGUAAAUUAGAGUGUUCAAAGCAGGCAAAUUUUUCAGCCAUUGAAUACAUUAGCAUGGGAUAAUAGAAUAGGACUCUGGUUUUAUUUUGUUGGUUUCUAAAAUUAGAGUAAUGAUUAACAGAGACAGUUGGGGGCGUUUGUAUUUUACAGUCA